rnacentral:rRNA from 1 species
UAGAGGAAGUAAAAGUCGUAACAAGGUUUCCGUAGGUGAACCUGCGGAAGGAUCAUUAUUGAAUGAACUUGACUUGGUUGUAGCUGGUCCUCUAGGGGACAUGUGCUCGCCUUGUCAUCUUUAUCUAUCCACCUGUGAACCUUUUGUAGACUUGGGACUAGUGAAUUGGAGAGCAUGCUCUCUUUGUAGCUAUACCAGGCCUAUGUUUUCAUAUACCCCAAAGAAUGUAACAGAAUGUAUUGUAUGGCCUUGUGCCUAUAAAUCAUAUACAACUUUCAGCAACGGAUCUCUUGGCUCUCGCAUCGAUGAAGAACGCAGCGAAAUGCGAUAAGUAAUGUGAAUUGCAGAAUUCAGUGAAUCAUCGAAUCUUUGAACGCACCUUGCGCUCCUUGGUAUUCCGAGGAGCAUGCCUGUUUGAGUGUCAUUAAAUUCUCAACCUUACCAGCUUUUGCUGAUAAUGGCUUGGAUGUGGGGGUUUCAUUUGCUGGCUUUGGUCGGCUCCCCUCAAAUGCAUUAGCUGGUACCCCGCGCGGAGCCGUCUAUUAGUGUGAUAAUUAUCUACGCUGUGGACAUCUGCAUCAAUGGGAUUGUACUGCUUCUAACCGUCCGUUUACUGGACAAUACAAUGACAAUUUGACCUCAAAUCAGGUAGGACUACCCGCUGAACUUAAGCAUAUCA